CAGCCGCCGCGGUAAUCCCAGCAGUCCAAGUCGCAGCCACAUUUGUUGGGUCUAAAACAUCCGUAGCUUGCUCUGUAAGUUCUUUGUGAAAUCGGGCCUCUUAAGGGUCCGGCGAGCAAAGAAUACUGCUUAGCUUGAGACCGGGAGACGUAAAGAGUACAGAUUGGGUAGCGGUAAAAUGUGUUGAUCCUUUCUGGACUAACAAUAGCGAAGGCACUUUACGAGAACGGAUCUGACAGUGAGGGAUGAAGGCUAGGGGCGCAAAGUGGAUUAGAUACCCAUGUAGUCCUAGCAGUAAACACUGCACACUAAACAUUGGUACCUCUUCGAGAGGUAUCAGUGCUGUAGGGAAGCCGGAGAGUGUGCUACCUGGGAAGUAUAGUCGCAAGGCCGAAACUUAAAGGACUUGGCGGGCGUACCCUC
rnacentral:rRNA from 1 species